rnacentral:lncRNA from 1 species
UCGGAUCAUAUGGUGUUUGUUUCUUGCUAUCUUAUUGUGAUGCAUUGAAUCUUUCCCUUUGAGAUCUCGUUAUGUUGGAUUUGAGAACACUUGAUGUAUGUCUUGGUAUUCAACUUGUGGAUUUCCGUGGUGACAAUGGGGUAAUCUAUGCAUAGGGGUUGAUACACGUUCUUGUCCUACCUUCUUCGAUAUAAAUCUUGUGUAUUAUUUGAAGUUCUUUGUGUUGUAUUGAAU